rnacentral:rRNA from 1 species
AUUGAACGCUGGCGGCAGGCCUAACACAUGCAAGUCGAACGAGUGGCGGACGGGUGAGUAAUGUCUGGGAAACUGCCCGAUGGAGGGGGAUAACUACUGGAAACGGUAGCUAAUACCGCAUACCAUCGGAUGUGCCCAGAUGGGAUUAGCUAGUAGGUGGGGUAACGGCUCACCUAGGCGACGAUCCCUAGCUGGUCUGAGAGGAUGACCAGCCACUCUGGAACUGAGACACUGUCCAGAUUCCUACGAGCGGCAGCAGUGGGUGAUAAUGCACAGUGGGCGCAAGCCAGAUGCAGCCGUGCCGGGUGUAUGAAGAAGGCCUUCGGGUUGUAAAGUACUUUCAGCGAGGAGGCGUUACGCGCAGAAGAAGCACCGGCUAACCCCGUGCCAGCCGCCGCGGUAAUU